GACGAACGCUGGCGGCGUGCCUAACACAUGCAAGUCGAACGAUGAACCCGGAGCUUGCUCCGGUGGAGUAGUGGCGCACGGGGGAGUAACACGCGAGUAACCUGCCCUUCACUCUGGGAGAACUGUGGGAUACUGUAUCUAAUACCCGAUACGACCCUCGACUGCAUCGCCUGGGGGCUGAAAGUAUUUCGGUCAAGGAUGGACGGGCGGCCUAUCAGCUGGUUUGUGAGGUAACGGCUCACCGAGGCGGCGACGGGUAGCCGGACUGAGAGGGUGACCCGCCACACUGGGACUGGGACACGGACCAGACUCCUACGGGAGGCAGCAGUGGGGAAUAUUGAACAAUGGGCGCAAGCCUGAUGCAGCCACGCCGCGUGAGGGAUGACGGCCUUCGGGUUGUAAACCUCUUUCAGCAGGGAAGAAAAUGACAGUACCUGCAGAAGAAGCCCCGGCUAACUACGUGCCAGCCGCCGCAGUAA
rnacentral:rRNA from 1 species